CACAGCAAUGCCAGAUCCAAGCCGCGUCUGUGACCUACACCACAGCUCACGGCAAUGCCAGAUCCUUAAUCCACUGAGCAAGGUCAGGGCUCAAACCUGCAACCUCAUGGUUCCUAGUCGGAUUCAUUAACCACUGAGCCACGACGGGAACUCCAAGACUGUCAUUUCUUGAGGCUGUUCGCGUCACAGAGGGAGAAAGGAGGGAGAAAAUUAAGGUGAUAAAAAUGAAAGGUUUGCAGAUCCCAUUGUGGCACAGCAGAAACAAAUCUGACUAGUAUUCAUGAGGACGCAGGUUUGAUCCCUGGCCUCAAUCAGUGGGUUAAGGAUCCAGCAUUGCUAUGCGCUGUGAUGUAGGUUGAAGAAGUACCUGCGUUGCUGUGGCUGUGGUGUAGCCCGGCAGCUGUAGCUCUGAUUCAACCCGGGAACCUCCGUAUGCCGCAGGAGUGGUGCUAAAAAGCAAAACAAAACAAAACAAAACAAAAGGUUAAUGUGUCACCCACCAGCGGAAGGUCAGAGUCAGUUAAGGGGUUAUAGAACAGGACCCUGAAAGGCAUAGGGAGUGGUGGGGGCCAUGGAAAACUAAAGCACGCGCGGACGUUCCACCCAAAUGCAUUUAAAUUUAAAAUGUUAAAACCUGUUACUGGCCAAACAAAGCAAAAUGUGAGGGUCACCACAGUUUGGAGUACUUGAUUGUAGGGGAACAAGUUGCCUGGAAACCAAGAAUGCGGAGGAGGGAGCUGGAAACUGCUUGGCUAUAGAGCCAGAAAAAGAGCCAAGGACAGCCCUCUGGACCUGCUUCCUCCCUGUGGCUGUCAGAUUGUCUGCUCUAUACCCCUACCUGCCUCGGGCCCCCUCCACCUUGCCUACUGGGGCUCACCUGCCCCCAGAGUCACCCUGAUCUCCCUGAAAGAAGAAUGGAGGGCAGGAUGACAGCUGCUGACUUGCAGGAAUGCCUCGGACAAGUGAAAUGGCAGAGACUGGCUAUUGUGCCUUUGGAGGGGAUUACUUUGAAUGGUCUGGAAAAGCUGAGAGGACACCAGGUCUGAUCCCUGUCCCCAGCCUACACUGUGAUGUCAUGGUUGGUAUAUUCUUAGUUAUCUCUUUCUUCCCUGGGACUCAUAGCCUACUUUUGCUCCCUUUUAAGUUAAAAACUAAACCUUAAUUAUACAGAGAGAAUCACUAGAUGGGACAUGAUUCGCCAAGAAAGUGGUGGGGGGGAGGGAGGGUGAUAACAACACAUUGACCAUCGAUAAAUCAGCUCCCAGGCUGUCCUGUCCUGUGACCUAUGUAAUGGGUAUUCUCUAGACCCUCAGCUAGGCAGAAAGCUCUUCAAGACUUGGGAUUUUUUCUUUCUUCCCUGCCCAGUCCCUGUCCCACUUCUCUCACACUUGGUACUAUUAAGCUCUUAAUAAUAACAAUGACAAACACUGGGCACCUGCUCUGUGCAGUCCAGGUGUUGAAGUUUCAUUCUGGUCGACACAGGCUGGGCCCCUGAAGACCUCUGUCUUCUCAGCUCCAACACUUCCCUCUCUGGGAUCCGACCACACCAGCCUUUUUUCCGUUUCUUGAACCCACUGAACC
rnacentral:lncRNA from 1 species